rnacentral:rRNA from 1 species
AGCGAACGCUGGCGGCAGGCCUAACACAUGCAAGUCGAACGAACUCUUCGGAGUUAGUGGCGGACGGGUGAGUAACACGUGGGAACGUGCCUUUUGGUUCGGAAUAACUCAGGGAAACUUGUGCUAAUACCGAAUGUGCCCUUCGGGGGAAAGAUUUAUCGCCAUUAGAGCGGCCCGCGUCUGAUUAGCUAGUUGGUGAGGUAACGGCUCACCAAGGCGACGAUCAGUAGCUGGUCUGAGAGGAUGACUAGCCACACUGGGACUGAGACACGGCCCAGACUCCUACGGGAGGCAGCAGUGGGGGAUCUUGCGCAAUGGGCGAAAGCCUGACGCAGCCAUGCCGCGUGAAUGAUGAAGGUCUUAGGAUUGUAAAAUUCUUUCACCGGGGACGAUAAUGACGGUACCCGGAGAAGAAGCCCCGGCUAACUUCGUG